rnacentral:misc_RNA from 1 species
AAAAUACUCACUAAUAAUAUCCCUCCAUUUUUUCUCUCUACUUUCUCUAUCUGAAAAAUUUUUCCGAUCAAAAAUUGAAAUUCCGGCGAAAUCAUGGCGGCCGCAGCUGCCACAGCAAUAGCUUCUUCGUUUUCCAGUCUUCAUUCUAUACGUACUAAAUCAAAUUUGACUAAUUCCGAUCAUCUACUUAAAAUUUCAUCAGCUAGAACUCCAAAUCUAACUUUAAUUUCAUCGUCGGUAAGUGAACUGACGUCGAUUUACAAGAAGUGGAGGGUAUUGCCCAGGCUGUCAGCUGCGGUGGCGCAAGAGGAGGCGGAAGCGGCGGUGACGGAGGAGGAGGUGCCGGCGCCGGCGGUGGAUGAGGAGGAGAAGGUAGGAGAGGGUUCCGAUGGGAGUAGUGAAAGUGAAGGUGUUAAUACUAAGCUUUAUUUUGGGAAUUUGCCGUAUCUUUGUGAUAGUGCACAACUUGCUGGGAUUGUUCAAGACUAUGCUAGUCCUGAACUUGUUGAGGUUCUUUAUGAUAGGGACACAGGUAAAAGCAGAGGAUUUGCAUUUGUGACAAUGAGUACUCUUGAAGAUUGCAAGACAGUCGUCGAAAAUCUAGAUGGAAGAGAGUAUGGUGGCAGAACCCUAAGGGUGAAUUUCUCGGAUAAGCCUAAACCAAAAGAACCACUUUACCCCGAAACAGAACACAAACUCUUUGUUGGUAAUUUGGCGUGGUCAGUCUCAUCUGAAAGUUUAGCGCAAGCAUUUCAAGAAUAUGGAACUGUUGUUGGUGCUAGGGUACUGUAUGAUGGUGAGACCGGGAGAUCUCGUGGCUACGGUUUUGUGAGCUUUGAGACUAGAGAAGAAAUGGAGAAUGCUCUUAACAAUCUCAAUGGAGUGGAAUUGGAUGGAAGGGCAUUGCGAGUUAGCUUAGCACAAGGGAAGAAACAAUAAGAUGGGACAAAAUUCUUUGUAUAUUAGUUGUAUAAGUUGAAAUUUGCCAUCUACAUAUGAACAAUUUUAGUUCAUGGAUUAAGAUGGCUAAAAAGGCUUUUACUAGGUCAAAAGGAGAUGUAACUAUUUGUAUUACAUCACACAUACAAUGAGC